rnacentral:rRNA from 1 species
AACUUUCAACAACGGAUCUCUUGGCUCUCGCAUCGAUGAAGAACGCAGCGAAAUGUGAUAAGUAAUGUGAAUUGCAGAAUUCAGUGAAUCAUCGAAUCUUUGAACGCACCUUGCGCUCUCUGGUAUUCCGGAGAGCAUGUCUGUUUGAGUGUCAU